GUCUAUGGCCAUACCACCCUGAAUGCGCCCAAUCUCAUCUGAUCUCGGAAGCUAAGCAGGGUUGGGCCUGGUUAGUACUUGGAUGGGAGACUUUGUGAAUCACUUUUAGUAUGGACU
rnacentral:rRNA from 1 species